CUGAUCUCAUCCACACCUUGCAAUCGACUAAUUAAAUUCCCGGGAGCUUUUCAUCUAUAAAUUUGGUUGUCCAUAAGAGUGAUUUUAGUUGAGUAUGUUGCUUCUGAUCAAGGCUUACCUAUGGAUGCGUUAAUAAGGGUUCUAGCGUUGCUGGCCGCCUUGUGCAUUGUCGGAUAUGCCAGUCAUACAAUUGACAAGCGGAAUGGAUGGAACCCAAAACUACCGCCAUUGAAGCCAAAAUUACCACCACGUUCAAUGCCAAUAAUGUGCCCACGUACCCAUCGCAAUCAAAGGAUAAUUUGGAUAAGACCUGGUCAGAUAUGUAAUGGUAUUAGGGACUGUCCUUGCGGAUGGGAUGAACAGUUCUGUCAAAGGUG